GAUGAACGCUGGCGGCGUGCCUAAUACAUGCAAGUCGAGCGAACGGACGAGAAUCUUGCUUCUCUGAUGUUAGCGGCGGACGGGUGAGUAACACGUGGAUAACCUACCUAUAAGACUGGGAUAACUUCGGGAAACCGGAGCUAAUACCGGAUAAUAUUUUGAACCGCAUGGUUCAAAAGUGAAAGACGGUCUUGCUGUCACUUAUAGAUGGAUCCUCGCUGCAUUAGCUAGUUGGUAAGUUAACGGCUUACCAAGGCAACGAUGCAUAGCCGACCUGAGAGGGUGAUCGGCCACACUGGAACUGAGACACGGUCCAGCCUCCUACGGGAGGCAGCAGUAGGGAAUCUUCCGCAAUGGGCGAAAGCCUGACGGAGCAACGCCGCGUGAGUGAUGAAGGUCUUCGGAUCGUAAAACUCUGUUAUUAGGGAAGAACAUAUGUGUAAGUAACUGUGCACAUCUUGACGGUACCUAAUCAGAAAGCCCCGGCUAACUACGUG
rnacentral:rRNA from 1 species